GACGUAGGGGGCGAGCGUUGUCCGGAUUUAUUGGGCGUAAAGCGUGCGUAGGCGGCUGCGCAAGUCGGUUGUGAAACCCCGGGGCUCAACCCCGGAACUGCAUCCGAUACUGACGGCCUCGAGGAAGGUAGGGGCAUGCGGAACUGUAGGUGGAGCGGUGAAAUGCGUUGAUAUCGGAAGGAACGCCGGUGGCGAAAGCGGCGAACUGGAUCUCUUCGUGACGCUGAGGCGCGAAAGCUAGGGGAGCAAACGGG
rnacentral:rRNA from 1 species